UACAGAGGGGGCAAGCGUUGUCCGGAAUUAUUGGGCGUAAGAGCUCGUAGGCGGUUUGUCGCGUCUGCUGUGAAAACCCGAGGCUCAACCUCGGGCCUGCAGUGGGUACGGGCAGACUAGAGUGCGGUAGGGGAGAUUGGAAUUCCUGGUGUAGCGGUGGAAUGCGCAGAUAUCAGGAGGAACACCGGUGGCGAAGGCGGGUCUCUGGGCAGUAACUGACGCUGAGGAGCGAAAGCGUGGGGAGCGAACAGG
rnacentral:rRNA from 1 species